CCUAAUCGGCCUUCUUUCAGCCGCUAAGCCCCAACGUCCGUCCUAUCGGCGUCUGGCUCGUCUGGUCUCUUGCUCCCUCCCGUCGUGAUUCUCUCAUCCCGCGCCUGCCCCCGUGAUUCUCUCAUCUGGUUCACUUUCCUUUUUCUCGUCCAUUUGCUUCACCGCGAUCGGCCUCCGCCGCGGCCAGGGCUCCGCCGCCGUCGCGCCGUCAUGAUCCCCCGCCUGGCGUGAGCGCCCAUCAUCGAAUCCCUAGUUAGGGUGUUGUUCGACGGCGAUCUCGGGCGACCGGCAUUGGCGGUCUCCCUCGAAGUCCUGAGCCUCCCCUGUCCGAGCUCAUCGCCGACCGCCGACAAAGUUCCAGCCAGAGUUCUUUGUCCCCGUGCCCGGUGAGGACAGAAACGAGAUCCCCUCACUCUCCUCUUCCUGACCCCCUCCUCACCUGGGCUCCUGGAUGGCAACCGCCGUGGACGAUUCGUCGCGCCUACUGCCCACCAAGAGAAGCCGCCACCGCCGCGAAUUCAUCCUAGCCAAGACGCUCCUGCUCCGCCGGUCCUCGCCGCCCGUCCCUCGCCCCGGAGCGCCUCCGUCAGACGAAGUCCCAAGCCACCCCUGUCGGAGCUCGUCGCCGGCCGCUGACCAAAUUCCAGCCAGAGUUCUUCAUCCCCGUGCCCGGUGUUCAGUAACCUCAAUAUUUUGCUUGCUCUGAUGAAAGCUGUUUGUUACCCUGUUAAUCUGAUGGAGCUAUGAGUGUGGAUUUUGUUCUGCGCACUUGAAGCUACAGAAUUGAAAUGUUUCGCACCUUCAAGCUGUUGAUAUUCAAGCUAUAUUGGCUCUGUUCAUCACUAGAUGGCAAAAAUAACAGAUUGGUUGAUGUUGGUGAACAGCAGGCAAGAUCUCCACUUCUUACUAUUGCAAAGGACAAUCAGCAAUUCAGGCUCUUGUGCUAAACCUGUACAGGGGCAUUAGGUGGUCAGUAAGAAAUGGCUCUGAGCGGUGAGGGAUAGACAAUCACAUCAGAAUUGGAUCAGAGAUGUCAACGAAGCUCUCUCAAUGCAAGCCAUGUAUGAACUUGUCCAGCUAUGUAAAGGCCUAGAGCACCUCGACCCUGGGUCAGAUCCUUCCUCCAGCCAUGGUUGAUGGCGCUGAUCCUUUCCUCUCCAUCCUCCUCCAAAAUAUGAGCCUUUCCUCUCCGUUCUCCAAAAUCAGCAGGAUUGAUUCAAUGUUUUUUUUCCUUUGAUGCGUCAGGCACUAUCCCACAGGUUAGCGAAGCCACCUCCAGUCACCUCUUUCAUUCACACUAGAACAUAUGGCGCCCUUCGGGCGCCUAGCGAUGGCGGAGAGCAGGAGAGCGCCGGCGGGGAGGCGGAGAGCAGAGAGGGAGAGAGAAGGCGGCGGCGAGGAGCAGUAGAGGGUGAGAGAAGGGUGAGAGAAGGGGGGAUAGAGUGGCCGUAUGCCCAGCCUAGCCUGCGCAGGUGGCAGCAGCGGAGAGCAGGAGGAGCGGCGGCGGGGAAGAGCGACGGAGGUAGGCAGAGAGGGAGAGAGCAGAUAGGGAGAGAGAGGGCGGCGGCGAGGAGCAGGAGAGGGAGGGAGAUGGCGGUGGGGCGUGCAGAGCUUGACGGCAGUGCACAUGGCCUGCCGCAACACGUCGAGGAGCUCGGCCGUCAUGCUCUCCUAGGCCGCGCCGUGGCCGGCCCACACCCCCUCCCUCCGAGCCACGCCCCGCACCGGAUCUAGAUCCCGCGGGAGCGCGCGGCGGCUGCGGCGGAGAGCUAGAAGAGCGGCGGCGGGGAGGGAAAAUGGAGGCAGGAGAAGAGGGAGCCAGGGAGGAGAGGGGAAGAGGCGGCAGGGAGGCAGAGAGCAGAGAGGGAGGAGAGGCGCCGAUAGAGAGCAGGAGAGGGGCGGCGGGGAGGAGGGAGAGGGGUUAGGGUUUGGGGUGGGGGUGAAUAAAAAACUGCCUAGCGGGGGGUUUUUUGCAAACACAACAUUAUUAUCGAAUUUUCCCUUCUCGUAUUGAAAUAAACAUUAUUCUGAGGGCCUAUGUGAAAAUACACGAGUGUGGGUGCUGUAUGGUCCAGGCGAGCUGUGUUUAGUUGUGAUUAUUAGAAAGUCGGAGGUUUUUUUUGCAAAAUGGCCAAAGCGCGGCUGCACGACAUGUGCCCACCUUUUCUCCGUGGGAUGCAGUGGGAGGGCAAAGGGGAGGGACUUUUAAUCAUUCUAAUACAUGGCUACAGGACGCUAGCUGCGGGAGCAAGAAUCACUUAGGUGGCAUGUCGAUGGCUGGGGCUGAAAGGUACACCUAAUGCAGAACCCCAAUCAAUCGUGCACACUUGUUUUGAGGUAUGCGAUCUUCAACUUUUCCACUCUUCAACUGUGCUCGAAGCCUUAAACUAUACUGCAAAUGUAAUGUGUUCUCCUCUUUGAUGCUGUUUGGUACCAUUAUUUGUGUAGCAGAAAAUCAUUUAUGGACAAAUGAGUUCAAUGCCAUAAAUUUAGCGCUUGUUAGGCCCAGAUGCGGAGCACUGAUGGCUAUAGUAGGGUUAGUUUUAUAAUUAAUAAUUGUCUGAGGCUUUAUGAUACGAAUUACACAUACGUUUUGAUCUAAAGGUGCUCCUGUCGUUCAAUUAAAAACGGCUAAGUGACACCGCUCUUUCGUUGCACAGUUAUAUUUUCAGCUCCUAUUUAUUUCAUUGCACGGGCAUAUGAAUUGAAUACUUUGUAGAAUUUUUGUGUGAUAAGCUUUAUAAAUUUUUUUUGUUUUUCUCUAAGUUAAUAGCUGUAUGUUACUUGAAUCGUUGCCAGUGAACCCUCGCCGUGCCAAGAUGAGUACUGUUUUGUUUAUGAACUGAUGGAAUGAUUCCAUAAUGGACAUGACAAUUCCAUGAGAUGCCUUGAUGAUUUGGUUCAAAAUGGUUGUUUGCUUUUCUUGUUAAAAGAUUGUCUAAGAGAGAAAAAAGGAUGCGCUGCAAUGUAUAGUUCAGUGUUGAAUACUUCUGAUUCAAGUAAACAGUUCUGGGUUCAAAUUGUAGUUGUGAAUUACAGGUGCUUCUGAAUUGAGUUCAUGUUUAUUGUAUGUGUAAGUGCUUCUUAAUUAUAGGUGUAAUUACAUAUGUUCUUUUGAAUCAGUUCUCCUGGACUGAGCUCAUGUACGUGUAGGCUUCGAUAUCUUCAAGAUAUAUCAUAGUGCUUUUUUGUGUGGUAGUAUCACUACAAUUGCAUUUAGUGUUUUAGGUUUGAGAUUAAACUCAUUGUCUUCCUUUCAGAGUUGUUUUUGGUUUUCAGACAUUGACCAUUACAAGCUCUGAAUUUUGGAUAAGACUCUUGGCUUGUUUAUUUGAAUAGUAUGGCAAUUAUUAGCUCUUAUUUUUCUGGUGUAGAAAUUGAGAUUAUAUAGUGACGUCCUCCAUUUCACAUGGCACUAUUAGUUGCCUCAAUGCCUCAGCAAACAUGUUAUUAUGUAUCAUGGAUCUUUGACGUCAGUGCAUACUCAGUUAAUAAUGCAGUUAUUUUUAUGUUUCUUGCUCUGAAAUAAGCAUCUGGACUUUAUUGGAUGAAGCAUCUGAAACUCUUAUUGUUAAGACAUUGUCCGGGAUGAGUUCUGGAAGUAAUGCAAACUCCAUGUGAACCACUAUGAAAAAGUUUCACUUUUGAGAUGUGAUCAAUCCCUGACUGGUUAAACUAUUUCCAGAUUUAGUUUUUAGACAAAAUAUUGUACCUGAAAAAAGGUUGUGAUUCAUCUAUAUGCUUGUGACAUGCCUUUAUUUCUUGUGUAAACACAGUUUGAUCAAUAUUGUUUUUGGAAA